GUGCUCACUUUGACAGCACAUAUACUAAUAUUGGAAUUAUAGAGACUAUUAGCAUGGCCCCUGCUAAGGAUGACAUGAAAAUUCGUGAAGCAUUCCAUAUUUUU